rnacentral:rRNA from 1 species
CUACCAUGGCGUUCACGGGUAACGGAGAAUUAGGGUUCGAUUCCGGAGAAGGAGCCUGAGAAACGGCUGCUACUACCAAGGAAGGCAGCAGGCGCGUAACUUACCCAAUCCUGAUUCAGGGAGGUAAUGACAAGAAAUAACAUACGGGGGCACUUUGUGUUCCCGGAAUGGAAUGAGUACAAUUUACACACCUUAACGAGGACCAAUUGGAGGGCAAGUCUGGUGCCAGCAGCCGCGGUAAUUCCAGCUCCAAUAGCGUAUAUUAAAGUUGUUGCAGUUAAAAAGCUCGUAGUUGGACCUCUGAAAGGAAAUAUUGGCCUGCGGUUUCCGUGCGGCUGAUAAUUCUUUUCAUCCUUCGGUCAACUUCGCCGGCAUUCACUUGUCGACGGAGGGCCCCGAUAUUUUACCUUGAGAAAAAUAGAGUGUUUCAGGCAGGCUUCGCCGGAAUACAUUAGCAUGGAAUAAUAGAAGAGGACUCUUACCUUAUUUGUUGGUUUCAAGAUUUGAGUAAUGAUUAAUAGGGACAGUUGGGGCUGCUAAUAUUUAAUUGUCAGAGGUGGAAUUCUUUGAUUUAUGAAAGAUUAACUUAUGCGAAAGCAUUCAGCAAGGAUGUUUUCAUUAAUCAA